rnacentral:rRNA from 1 species
CGGAGGAUCCAAGCGUUAUCCGGAUUUAUUGGGUUUAAAGGGUGCGUAGGCGGUCCUAUAAGUCAGUGGUGAAAGACGGCAGCUUAACUGUCGCAGUGCCUUUGAUACUGUAGGACUUGAAUCUAUUUGAAGUGGGCGGAAUAAGACAAGUAGCGGUGAAAUGCAUAGAUAUGUCUUAGAACUCCGAUUGCGAAGGCAGCUCACUAAGUUAGUAUUGACGCUGAUGCACGAAAGCGUGGGGAUCAAACAGGAUUAGAUACCCUGGUAGUCCACGCCCUAAACGAUGAUAACUCGAUGUUUGCGAUACACAGUAAGCGUCCAAGCGAAAGCGUUAAGUUAUCCACCUGGGGAGUACGGUCGCAAGAUUGAAACUCAAAGGAAUUGACGGGGGCCCGCACAAGCGGAGGAGCAUGUGGUUUAAUUCGAUGAUACGCGAGGAACCUUACCCGGGCUUGAAAGUUAGUGAAUGAUCCAGAGACGGAUCAGUCCUUCGGGACACGAAACUAGGUGCUGCAUGGCUGUCGUCAGCUCGUGCCGUGAGGUGUUGGGUUAAGUCCCGCAACGAGCGCAACCCCUAUGUUUAGUUGCCAGCAUGUAAUGAUGGGGACUCUAAACAGACUGCCAGCGUAAGCUGUGAGGAAGGUGGGGACGACGUCAAGUCAUCAUGGCCCUUACGUCCGGGGCUACACACGUGCUACAAUGGACGGUACAGCGGGCAGCUACAUAGCAAUAUGAUGCUAAUCUCUAAAAGCCGUUCACAGUUCGGAUUGAGGUCUGCAACUCGACCUCAUGAAGUUGGAUUCGCUAGUAAUCGCGUAUCAGCAAUGACGCGGUGAAUACGUUCCCGGGCCUUGUACACACCGCCCGUCAAGCCAUGAAAGUUGGGGGUACCUAAAGCAUGUAACCGCAA